rnacentral:rRNA from 1 species
CAGCAGCCGCGGGAAUACGGAGGGGGCUAGCGUUGUUCGGAAUUACUGGGCGUAAAGCGCACGUAGGCGGCUUGGUAAGUUAGAGGUGAAAGCCUGGAGCUCAACUCCAGAAUUGCCUUUAAGACUGCCGAGCUAGCAGGUGAGAGAGGUAAGUGGAAUUCCGAGUGUAGAGGUGAAAUUCGUAGAUAUUCGGAAGAACACCAGUGGCGAAGGCGGCUUACUGGCUCAUACUGGACGCUGAGGUGCGAAAGCGUGGGGAGCAAACAGGAUUAGAGACCCCUGUAGUCCCUGUCUCUUAUAC